CAGUCGCCGCGGUAAUACGUAGGCAGCAAGCGUUGUUCGGAGUUACUGGGCGUAAAGGGUGUGUAGGCGGUUGCCUAAGUUUGGUGUGAAAUCUCCCGGCUUAACCGGGAGGGUGCGCCGAAAACUGGGUGACUAGAGUAUGGGAUGGGUAAGUGGAAUUCCUGGUGUAGCGGUGAAAUGCGUAGAUAUCAGGAGGAACACCGGUGGUGUAGACGGCUUACUGGACCAUAACUGACGCUGAGACACGAAAGCGUGGGUAGCAAACAGGAUUAGAUACCCGUGUAGUCCCUGUCUCUUAUAC
rnacentral:rRNA from 1 species